CUUUCAUAUUCCCUGAGGAAUAUGGUGGAAUUGACAGGAAGAGCCAAGUAGACAUUGGAGCCUGUGGGACACAGGAGCCUGAGGCAGGUGACAGAACAAAGGACACAGCCUAUGUUGGAUGCUACCAGGUGGAUUCUGAGAAGCUGUCAGCUUGGGGCUCCUGCAUCCUGUACUGCCAUGUCUAACAUCACAAAAAUGAAUAGGAUUGGGCUUAUUCAACCUGGAAAGGGGAGAUGGCUUCUCCAGCUCUGCUCUCAUACCAGAGCCUGACAUAUAGGAAGUGCUCAGCAAACAUUUGCCCUAUGAAGAGAUGAAUGAACAGGGCAACUUGGCAGUACUUGUAAAGGUGACGAUGAGCACGCACACGCAGAUCCAGCAAAACCCCAGAGAAAUGCUAACACACGUGUCCAUUGGGAGACACAUAUAAGGGUGUUCACAGCAGCACUCUUCCUUUUCUUCAAUUAUGCAAAGCUACCCACAGGUUCAUAAUCAGGAGACCGGAUGAAUAAGUCAUAAUGUAUUUAUACAAUGGAAUACCAUUACAGCAGUGAAAAUGAAUAAACUCCAGCUACAUGUGUUAACUUGGACACAUCUGAAACAUCCAUAUUAUUUCUGCAGCUGAAUGAUGGUGAAAGGGAGCUGUUGCAUCAAUCUUGAAACCUUCAUGUGUGUCUGAAAUAUUUCAUAAUGAAAAUAAAUGAAAAGAAGAAACGGAUGAAUGAAUGAAUGAAUGAAUGCUGCUUCCUCUCAACCAGAGAGCUGAUUCUCCUGCCUUUUCUUUGUUUUAUGUGUAUGUAUCUCUCUGAGACUUAAGAGCACUUUGGAGUCAGCCUAACCUGAACUGGAACCCUGGCUCUGCCCCUUGAUGCUUUGUGACCUGGUGACCCUGGUACCUCUCUACCCACUUCACAGAUGAGUGUGAGCAUUCACUGAGAUCAUGGCGUGUCUUGAAGUUUAUCUAGCCCAGUUCCCCAUUUCACAGAUGGCAAAAGUGAGGUACAAAUGGAAACUUCAGCUCCUUCCCUAGGAGCUAAAAAGAUAUUUGCUCCUUACCCCACAACACCCUGACAGGACCAGGGAAGAAGGUUGCCCAGAUGGUGAUCUG
rnacentral:lncRNA from 1 species